AAUGAACGCUGGCGGCAUGCCUUACACAUGCAAGUCGAACGGCAGCAUGACCUAGCUUGCUAGGUUGAUGGCGAGUGGCGAACGGGUGAGUAAUGCAUCGGAACGUGCCUUUUAGUGGGGGAUAACGUAGCGAAAGUUACGCUAAUACCGCAUAUUCUCUGAGGAGGAAAGCAGGGGACCUUCGGGCCUUGCGCUAGAAGAGCGGCCGAUGUCGGAUUAGCUAGUUGGUGAGGUAAAGGCUCACCAAGGCAACGAUCCGUAGCGGGUCUGAGAGGAUGACCCGCCACACUGGGACUGAGACACGGCCCAGACUCCUACGGGAGGCAGCAGUGGGGAAUUUUGGACAAUGGGCGCAAGCCUGAUCCAGCCAUGCCGCGUGAGUGAAGAAGGCCUUCGGGUUGUAAAGCUCUUUCGGCUGGGAAGAAAUCGCACCCUCUAAUACAGGGUGUGGAUGACGGUACCAGCAUAAGAAGCACCGGCUAACUACGUG
rnacentral:rRNA from 1 species